AGAGUUUGAUCCUGGCUCAGGAUGAACGCUGGCGGCGUGCCUAACACAUGCAAGUCGAGCGAUUCUCUUCGGAGAAGAGCGGCGGACGGGUGAGUAACGCGUGGGUAACCUGCCCUGUACACACGGAUAACAUACCGAAAGGUAUGCUAAUACGAGAUAAUAUGCUUUUAUCGCAUGGUAGAAGUAUCAAAGCUCAGGCGGUACAGGAUGGACCCGCGUCUGAUUAGCUAGUUGGUGAGGUAACGGCUCACCAAGGCGACGAUCAGUAGCCGACCUGAGAGGGUGAUCGGCCACAUUGGAACUGAGACACGGUCCAAACUCCUACGGGAGGCAGCAGUGGGGAAUAUUGCACAAUGGGCGAAAGCCUGAUGCAGCAACGCCGCGUGAGCGAUGAAGGCCUUCGGGUCGUAAAGCUCUGUCCUCAAGGAAGAUAAUGACGGUACUUGAGGAGGAAGCCCCGGCUAACUACGUGCCAGCAGCCGCGGUAAUACGUAGGGGGCUAGCGUUAUCCGGAAUUACUGGGCGUAAAGGGUGCGUAGGUGGUUUCUUAAGUCAGAGGUGAAAGGCUACGGCUCAACCGUAGUAAGCCUUUGAAACUGGGAAACUUGAGUGCAGGAGAGGAGAGUGGAAUUCCUAGUGUAGCGGUGAAAUGCGUAGAUAUUAGGAGGAACACCAGUUGCGAAGGCGGCUCUCUGGACUGUAACUGACACUGAGGCACGAAAGCGUGGGGAGCAACAGGAUUAGAUACCCUGGUAGUCCACGCCGUAAACGAUGAGUACUAGCUGUCGGAGGUUACCCCCUUCGGUGGCGCAGCUAACGCAUUAAGUACUCCGCCUGGGAAGUACGCUCGCAAGAGUGAAACUCAAAGGAAUUGACGGGGACCCGCACAAGUAGCGGAGCAUGUGGUUUAAUUCGAAGCAACGCGAAGAACCUUACCUAAGCUUGACAUCCUUUUGACCUCUCCCUAAUCGGAGAUUUCCCUUCGGGGACAGAAGUGACAGGUGGUGCAUGGUUGUCGUCAGCUCGUGUCGUGAGAUGUUGGGUUAAGUCCCGCAACGAGCGCAACCCUUGCCUUUAGUUGCCAGCAUUAAGUUGGGCACUCUAGAGGGACUGCCAGGGAUAACCUGGAGGAAGGUGGGGAUGACGUCAAAUCAUCAUGCCCCUUAUGCUUAGGGCUACACACGUGCUACAAUGGGUGGUACAGAGGGCAGCCAAGUCGUGAGGCGGAGCUAAUCCCUUAAAGCCAUUCUCAGUUCGGAUUGUAGGCUGAAACUCGCCUACAUGAAGCUGGAGUUACUAGUAAUCGCAGAUCAGAAUGCUGCGGUGAAUGCGUUCCCGGGUCUUGUACACACCGCCCGUCACACCACGGGAGUUGGGGGCGCCCGAAGCCGGAUUGCUAACCUUUUGGAAGCGUCCGUCGAAGGUGAAAUCAAUAACUGGGGUGAAGUCGUAACAAGGUAGCCGUAUCGGAAGGUGCGGCUGGAUCACCUCCUU
rnacentral:rRNA from 1 species